UACGUAGGGUGCAAGCGUUAAUCGGAAUUACUGGGCGUAAAGCGUGCGCAGGCGGUUGUGCAAGACAGGUGUGAAAUCCCCGGGCCUAACCUGGGAACUGCAUUUGUGACUGCAUGGCUAGAGUUUGUCAGAGGGGGGGUGGAAUUCCACGUGUAGCAGUGAAAUGCGUAGAUAUGUGGAGGAACACCGAUGGCGAAGGCAGCCCCCUGGGAUGUGACUGACGCUCAUGUACGAAAGCGUGGGGAGCAAACAGG
rnacentral:rRNA from 1 species